GUAUUGUGAAUGAAAGGUGAAAAGAAUACCGAAAGGUAGGUGAAACAGAAUUAAAAC
rnacentral:rRNA from 1 species